AAAUAAGAAGCAAAUUAUUGCCUUUAGUUUCGACCUAAAAAAUUGAUUUUUUAAUCCUUAUUUA
rnacentral:tRNA from 1 species